rnacentral:sRNA from 1 species
ACAUAGCCCCGAUUGCAGUGGAAAUCCUUUUUUGUAAAAAAAGAUUGCAACGGAAAGCGGGCUGGAAA